GGAGGGGUGGCCGAGAGGCUGAAGGCGACGGUUUGCUAAACCGUUAUACGGCGCAAGCUGUAUCAAGGGUUCGAAUCCCUUUCCCUCCGCCA
rnacentral:tRNA from 1 species